rnacentral:rRNA from 1 species
AUUGCCUCAGUAACGGCGAGUGAAGCGGCAACAGCUCAAAUUUGAAAGCUGCCAACCGGCCGCAUUGUAAUUUGUAGAAGAUGCUUUGGGUGUCGGCCCUGUCUAAGUUCCUUGGAACAGGACGUCAUAGAGGGUGAGAAUCCCGUACGUGACGGGUGCCGGCCCCCGUGUAAAGCUCUUUCGACGAGUCGAGUUGUUUGGGAAUGCAGCUCAAAAUGGGUGGUAAAUUUCAUCUAAAGCUAAAUAUUGGCCAGAGACCGAUAGCGCACAAGUAGAGUGAUCGAAAGAUGAAAAGCACUUUGGAAAGAGAGUUAAACAGUACGUGAAAUUGUUGAAAGGGAAGCGCUUGCAAUCAGACUUGCGGGCGGUCGAUCAUCCGAGGUUCUCCCCGGUGCACUCGAUCGUUCUCAGGCCAGCAUCGGUUUCGGUGGUGGGAUAAAGGCUGAGGGAAUGUGGCUCUUCGGAGUGUUAUAGCCCUCGGUGCAAUGCCGCCUACCGGGACCGAGGACCGCGCUUCGGCUAGGAUGCUGGCGUAAUGGUUGUAAGCGACCCGUCUUGAAACACGGACCAAGGAGUCUAACAUCUAUGCGAGUGUUUGGGUGUCAAACCCAUACGCGUAAUGAAAGUGAACGGAGGUAAGAACCCUUUAGGGUGCAUUAUCGACCGAUCCUGAUGUCUUCGGAUGGAUUUGAGUAAGAGCAUAGCUGUUGGGACCCGAAAGAUGGUGAACUAUGCGUGAAUAGGGUGAAGCCAGAGGAAACUCUGGUGGAGGCUCGCAGCGGUUCUGACGUGCAAAUCGAUCGUCAAAUUUGCGUAUAGGGGCGAAAGACUAAUCGAACCAUCUAGUAGCUGGUUCCUGCGA